UACGUAGGGUGCGAGCGUUGUCCGGAAUUAUUGGGCGUAAAGGGCGCGUAGGCGGUUUGUCGCGUCGGGGGUGAAAACCCAGGGCUUAACUCUGGGCUUGCUUUCGAUACGGGCAGACUAGAGGUAUGCAGGGGAGAACGGAAUUCCUGGUGUAGCGGUGAAAUGCGCAGAUAUCAGGAGGAACACCGGUGGCGAAGGCGGUUCUCUGGGCAUUACCUGACGCUGAGGAGCGAAAGUGUGGGGAGCGAACAGG
rnacentral:rRNA from 1 species